GGAUAGCUCAGCCGAUAGAGCAUGAGACUCUUAAUGCAAUCAAUGGUCAUGGGUUGAAGCCCCAUGUUGGGCA